rnacentral:tRNA from 1 species
ACUUUUUUAAUAUAACUAAUAUAGAUGACUUCCACUCAUCAAAUCUCGGCACCAUCCGGGAAAAAGUA